rnacentral:rRNA from 1 species
UACGAAGGGGGCUAGCGUUGCUCGGAAUCACUGGGCGUAAAGCGCACGUAGGCGGAUUGCUAAGUCAGGGGUGAAAUCCUGGAGCUCAACUCCAGAACUGCCUUUGAUACUGGCGGUCUCGAGUCCGGGAGAGGUGAGUGGAACUGCGAGUGUAGAGGUGAAAUUCGUAGAUAUUCGCAAGAACACCAGUGGCGAAGGCGGCUCACUGGCCCGAUACUGACGCUGAGGCACGAAAGCGUGGGGAGCAACAGG